rnacentral:rRNA from 1 species
AUACGGAGGGAGCAAGCGUUAUUCGGAAUCACUGGGCGUAAAGGACGCGUAGGCGGGUUUGUAAGUCAGGUGUGAAAUCCUACAGCUCAACUGUAGAACUGCACUUGAAACUACAGACCUAGAGUAUGGAAGGGGAGAUGGAAUUAGUGGUGUAGGGGUAAAAUCCGUAGAUAUCACUAGGAAUACCGAAAGCGAAGGCGAUCUGCUGGGACAUUACUGACGCUGAGGCGUGAAAGCGUGGGGAGCAAACAGGAUUAGAAACCCCUGUAGUCC